rnacentral:lncRNA from 1 species
UUUUUUUAUUUCCAAUUAUAUUUAUUAUUAAUUAUUAACAAAGGUUUCGAAUUUUUGAAGUAAAUGUUCAUUAAUAAAAUUCCUCAUUCAUUUUAAUGGCCAUCUUUUCUUCUAUUAGAAUUAUUCUUUUUAUGUAAUGAAAUAUAAUUUGAAAUAGAACCAAUUAAUUUAGCAUAACAAUAGAAAAUAUUUCAACAAAUUACAAUAUAACACAACAUAACGCAUUAAGACACAAUAUAACACAACAUAACAUAACAUAAUACAACACAACAUAACAUAACAUAACAUAACAUAACAUAACAUAACAUAACAUAACAUAACACAAUACAACACAACACAACACAACAUAAUACAACACAACAUAACAUAACAUAACAUAACAUAACAUAACAUAACAUAACAUAACAUAACACAAUACAACACAACACAACACAACAUAACUCAAUUCAACUCAACGCAACUCAAUUCAAUUCAACCAAGCUCAACACAUACUUUUCCAAAUUAUCACACUAUUGUAAUUGUUAGUGUUUAUUUGCAAUAAUUAAUUAAUUAUUAUAAUAAUAGUAAUAUUAUGUUAAAUUAAACCAUAUAUUAUUAUGUUAUUCUUAUGUAUUAUAUUGCACCAUUUAAAUUGCACAUAAUUUUAUUAUUAGUUAACUUAGCAA